AGAUAGCAGGCAAAUUUGAAGAGGGAAUUCAAAUUAAACUAACUGUGAGAUGGCUUCUUGAAAUUCAGGAUUUUGAGUCCAUAAACACAUCCUGACAUAAAAUGAUUUAUUUCUAAAGGAAAACACAGCUCUUUUAGGUAAACGUUAUAUUGAUUGAUAUUUAUUAUAUGAGUUAAUUUAAAUGAACAUUUAUAUUCAAAUUGGGAUUGUUAAAUUAUUGAAACUGCAAGUGAGGUGGAUUUUGAAUGAGUAAGUUAUGUACUAUAUCUUCUCCAUGUAGAGAUGACAUAUACUUUAUUUAGUAUGCUUUGUCAAUAAGCAGGCCUCAUUUAUGUAGAAGAAUGCUUAAUGUUCACAUUGUAUUAUUGAACCAUGAAUAAUUAUUAUGUGAUACUGUUGGCUGUGUUUGAGAAAGAAUCUGAGUUUGGCAGUCAAUUCUUUAGCUUGAGGUUGUACUAUAAAAGCUAUUUUGUAUUAUAGUAUUUUCUAUCUAGUUUUAUGAGUAUAGUGCUUUCUAGACAUUUGUCCUUAUAUUUUCAUACAAUUUAUAGACUGCUUCUUUUAAAAAGACUGAUGUCGGUGUGAUAAACUUUCACCGAUAUAUUUAAUCCAUGUCAUGAAACAUUGCUUCCUUACCAAAAGCACCACUAUGUGAUUUUUUUAACAAGGCGUUGUUUUCCACUGCUACAUCAGAACAUGUUCUCUUUUCGAAACACAUAAAAUGAAUAUGGAAAUGAAUAUUUUCUUGUUCAUUCUAAAAAGAAUAUAAAAUAUAAUUUGUCAUUUUCCUUACAAAUUAUUGUUAACAGGUCUCAUCAAUACACAAAUAAUCUCUGGAGGCAAGAUAGUAUGUUUUAUUUUAAAAAAUUCUGACACAGUCUUUCAUAUAUUCAGAAUGUGUGUAAGAUAGCAUUGUAAGUAUAUUACAUUUAUAUUUAUGGAGAUUUGUUUUGUCUGUAUGGAUAUGUGUAUGCAUGUUCAUUUGUGUGUGCAUGUGAUUAUGUGUAUGUGUGUGCCCAUGUAUGUGGAGGCCAGAGAGGUCAAUGUUGGAUAUCUACAAUAUAUAUAUAUAUCUGUAGUCUGUCUGCCUAUCUAUCUAUCUGUAAUAUACAUCUAUAGUAUAACUUAAAAGAUACAAAAUAUCUAAAAAUACAGUACUGUGAAUGUGGGUUUAUAUUUAAAACCAAAAAGAUGAAGGUAGGCUGUAGGCUGUUGUUAGAUGAUAAAGGAAAGGACUGAAGUCCUCAAGGACACAGUACAGAAGCUGUUAACCAUUAGAAGUUGAAAGUAGAAAAGAGUGUAAGUUCUAUACAAAAUGUGCCAAUAGUAAUAUGUGUGUGUGCGUGUGCGUGUGCGUGUGUGUGUGUGUGUGUGUGAGAAGAAAGAACAAGGUAACCCCGUGAUAACUGCUUCAUUGAGAAGGGUCGACAGUAUGACCUUGACUCCUCCUGAGCUUGCUUAUACUUGGCCUUGUGCUGCUGUUAAUAAUGAGGAAAGUGUUAAUGAUUGGGGACAGAAAUCACAUGUGAAUAAAUGUACCUUAUGAAUCACAAUGAAAUAUUCUCUUCGUUUACCGUGUCUAAGAGCAAAUUCACAUCACAUGGUAGAACAGAGCAGCUUGUCCUGCAUGAGGUUCGGUUGAGAGUGUGUUGACCAAUGCUGUUUCCCGGGAGGCUGGUGUUUAAGAAGGGAGCAGAUACGCCCUGGAGCGUGCCUCCUUACAUCUUCUUUUAAAUCUUUUCCUGUCUUUUUCCUUAUGAUUAGGUAUCCUAGUGGAGCUAUUGUUUAAGCAUAUGAUUCAGUUAUGUUAAUUCAGAAGGAAUAUUUACUGAGUCACAUGAAAGGCUAGGCACAGUAUGCUGUCAUUAAGCUCUUAGUGUUACUGAAUAUAUGUAGGUGGCACUGUACUCUCUUAAUGGAUUUGCAGUCUAAUAGUAGUGCUUAAGGUGGAUUUUCUAUACCUUGGAAUUGACUUUUUAUUAACCUGUGUGAUGGCCUUACUGCAAUAGGCUUACAUAGGAAUCACAGUUUCUCAGAAAGAAUAUGUCACCUAGCAAGUCCAACGGGAUAGAGAUGCUUUAUAAUAAAUCUUGAAUAAUCACAUUUGUUUUUAAAUGUUUUAUUCUGAAAUAGCACUAGACCUAAAGAAAGCUUGUAAAACAGUAUAGAGAAUUCUCUUGUCUCUCCUCCACUGCAUAUAAAAUCUUUCACAAUCAAAGUAGUAGUACAGUUAUUAAAACUAGGGGAACAACAUUGAUAUAAUAUUUUUUAACUAUCUGCCUUAGUCAUUUGCCAGCCUUUUAACUAAUCAGCUUUUUUAGAUUUCUUGGGUCAAAGCAUCUUAUAAAUCACUUUAUUUUUCAUUUCUCUCUGUUCUUUUCUUGCCUGUGAAUAGUCCUUAGUCAUUUUUUUUGUCUUUUAUGAAAUUAACACCUUUGAAGGUUACUGACUAGUUAUUUUUCAGAAUGAUGCUCAUCCAUUACAAUUUUAAGGCCAUUCUGCUUUGAACUGGGGAUGGGAGUUGCUGAGGAAGGCACAACAGUGUUGACAGCUAAAUAAAAUGGAGACUCAGGCAUAGAAGGCAGCAUAGCUAGAGGGAGGAAGUUCAGAUGAGGGGAGAUGACUAGAGGCUCAGGGUAUCUAUCUAUCUAUCUAUCUAUCUAUCUAUCUAUCUAUCUAUCUAUCUAUCUAUCUACCUACCUACCUAUCCCAUAAGGUUGGAGAGUGACUAAAAAAAAUCCGAGGCUUCUAGAAGUGAACUAAACCCACACUUGCUAGGGACAAGGUGUGGAGCAGUGCAGUCCCGGGGAAAGGCUGAAGGGUAUAGCCUGAAUGGACAGGAAGGAAGAAGGGCUAGGUUUAAGUCCUGGAGUAGAAGGUUGGUGUAAGGGACUUCUCAACGUGCUAGCACAUGUCUCCUCAUUACUCCACACAACAUGUGGUGUUCUGAAAUUCAUUUCCUUCUCCUACCACUAUCUGGAGGUCUUUGUUUUUAGCAUCAUGGAAUUUCGAGCAAGCACGUGUCAAAGGAACUGUAAAGUGAGAUUUUGACAUUUGGGUCACACGAUGCUGAACUGUGCUGUCUGAUUUCUCAGUCCAUGUAGCAUGAAGUAUUGAGUGGGUCUACUGCCAUUUGUGUAAAUAAUAAUAGUUGGAAACUUCUAGCCAAAUCAAUACAUUACUCCAGUUCAUCCUACUUGUUGAUUUUUUCUUUUCAUUGUAGAAAAUUUAAAAUUGCCUAUGAUACUUAUUCUGUUUCUAUUUGGACACAGCCAGGUUUAAAUGUUUGCCAUUACAAGCUACUGUUACCCUGGAAUAUGUCUCAGGUGACUUCAUUUGCCAUCAUUCUGAGGUGGAAACCAGGAGGGGCAAUGCUGUGUCGCAAAGGCCGGCUGGCUCUACAAUAGGUAAAUCCCAGACGCUGCGGAGAAUAGGCCCCAAAUUGAGCUGUACAUUUUUAGUGUUGGCCUCUUAGUAAUUUCAGUCACUGAAAUAAGCAUUCUGUAUCCAUUGUACUAAGUUAUAUUUGCUUUGUUUCUCGUUGCUCUGAUGAGAUAUCUGGAGAAGCAGCCUAAGGGAGGAAGGAUGUAUUUUGGCUCAAGAUUUCCGAGGGUCCAUCAUGGCAGGGAAGGCGUGGCAACUAAAACUUGGGGCUGAGGCUGUAUGAGCUUGCUCAUAGCUGAUGUGGGUGGACCAGGAAACAGAAACAGACUAGAAGUAACGUGACGUGUUAAACUCUGUCACUUUCUGACAGAUGGCCAAGGUGGUGACAACAUCUUCUUCAGUAAAUAUGAGCAGAUUUACAGAGAUUUGAACUGGAGAAACAGAUGAAAUAGAAGAGAGCUUUUGAGGGGAGAAAAAAAAGAGAGAUAGAAGGUUUUCAUGUUCUUGUGUCUUAAGUUCUUGUAAAUCUUUAAAGGUCCUGUGACCUACCAAGGGAAAUUAAUUGAAGUUUGCUAAAAAAGGAAAGUCAUGCUUUUAAACAAAUGCCCAGAGCAAUAAUCGUACUGAAUAAUGACCUAUAAUUGUAUUAAAAGCCAGUUGCCAGUUGAACUGGGAAAAUAUAAUUGCAUAUAUUUAUCUGCCCUACCUAUAGAUGAUCAUUCUAAAUUAAUUUUUACAUAAACCAAAUAUUUUUUUCUGAUUUUGUUGGUAAUUUUGUCCACACAGAAAGACUACAGCUCACAAAGCAAUACUAUUAGUAAGGUAAAGGGCCCAGGUUUCUUCCUUUCUUUCUUUUCUAAUUGUUAAUUGACAGUGAAUUGCUGUGAAGUUGAAUCCCUUGCAUCUCACUUGACC
rnacentral:lncRNA from 1 species